UACGUAGGGUGCAAGCGUUGUCCGGAAUUAUUGGGCGUAAAGAGCUCGUAGGCGGUCUGUCGCGUCGGCUGUGAAAACCCGGAGCUCAACUCCGGGCCUGCAUUCGAUACGGGCAGGCUAGAGUUCGGUAGGGGAGACUGGAAUUCCUGGUGUAGCGGUGAAAUGCGCAGAUAUCAGGAGGAACACCGGUGGCGAAGGCGGGUCUCUGGGCCGAUACUGACGCUGAGGAGCGAAAGCGUGGGGAGCGAACAGGAUUGAAGACCCU
rnacentral:rRNA from 1 species